rnacentral:rRNA from 1 species
GUCGAACGCGUUGGCCCAAUUGAUUGAUGGUGCUUGCACCUGAUUGAUUUUGGUCGCCAACGAGUGGCGGACGGGUGAGUAACACGUAGGUAACCUGCCCAGAAGCGGGGGACAACAUUUGGAAACAGAUGCUAAUACCGCAUAACAGCGUUGUUCGCAUGAACAACGCUUAAAAGAUGGCUUCUCGCUAUCACUUCUGGAUGGACCUGCGGUGCAUUAGCUUGUUGGUGGGGUAACGGCCUACCAAGGCGAUGAUGCAUAGCCGAGUUGAGAGACUGAUCGGCCACAAUGGGACUGAGACACGGCCCAUACUCCUACGGGAGGCAGCAGUAGGGAAUCUUCCACAAUGGGCGCAAGCCUGAUGGAGCAACACCGCGUGAGUGAAGAAGGGUUUCGGCUCGUAAAGCUCUGUUGUUAAAGAAGAACACGUAUGAGAGUAACUGUUCAUACGUUGACGGUAUUUAACCAGAAAGUCACGGCUAACUACGUGCCAGCAGCCGCGGUAAUACGUAGGUGGCAAGCGUUAUCCGGGAUUUAUUGGGCGUA